GACGAACGCUGGCGGCGUGCUUAACACAUGCAAGUCGAACGGAAAGGCCCUGCUUUUGUGGGGUGCUCGAGUGGCGAACGGGUGAGUAACACGUGAGUAACCUGCCCUUGACUUUGGGAUAACUUCAGGAAACUGGGGCUAAUACCGGAUAGGAGCUCCUGCUGCAUGGUGGGGGUUGGAAAGUUUCGGCGGUUGGGGAUGGACUCGCGGCUUAUCAGCUUGUUGGUGGGGUAGUGGCUUACCAAGGCUUUGACGGGUAGCCGGCCUGAGAGGGUGACCGGGCACAAUGGGGACGGAGGUCGGCCCCGGCCCCCUCGGGGGGGCAGCGGGGGGAAAUAUGGCACAAGGGGGGGAGGCCGGAGGCAGCACCCCCGGGUGGGGGAUGGCGGCCUUGGGGUUGAAAACCGCUUCCGCCUGUGACGAAGGGGGAGGGACGGUAGGGGGUAAAGAAGCCCCGGCUAACUACGUG
rnacentral:rRNA from 1 species